rnacentral:rRNA from 1 species
UCUUAGUGGCGGACGGGUGAGUAACGCGUGGGUAACCUGCCUUACACAGGGGGAUAACACCUGGAAACAGGUGCUAAUACCGCAUAAGCGCACAGGGCCGCAUGGCCCGGUGUGAAAAACUCCGGUGGUGUAAGAUGGACCCGCGUCUGAUUAGCUUGUUGGCGGGGUAGAGGCCCACCAAGGCGACGAUCAGUAGCCGGCCUGAGAGGGUGGACGGCCACAUUGGGACUGAGACACGGCCCAAACUCCUACGGGAGGCAGCAG